GACGAACGCUGGCGGCGUGCUUAACACAUGCAAGUCGAGCGGAGCGGCGAACGGGUGAGUAACGCGUGAGUAACUGCCCCCCUCUCUGGGAUAACCGUUGGAAACGCCUGCUAAUACCGGAUAGUGGGGGAUGACUCGGGGCAUAUCGGCUUGUUGGUGGGGUAGUGGCCUACCAAGGCGACGCCGGGUACCCGGCCUGAGAGGGCGACCGGCCACAUUGUGCUGAGAGACGGCCCAGACGGCAACGGGGGGCAGUAGGGGGAAAUAUGGCACAAUGGGGGAAACCCUGAUGCAGCAGCGCCGCGUGCGUGAUGAAGGCCUUCGAGUUGUAAACAGCUUUCAGCCAUGACGCGGUAGUGGCAGAAGAAGCACCGGCUAACUACGUGCCAGCAGCCGCGGUAAUUC
rnacentral:rRNA from 1 species